rnacentral:lncRNA from 1 species
GUCUUUGAAAUGAGGAGCCAAUCCAGCCAACGCUGCUGCCUGUAACCCACUCCAGUGACUGGCGCUCCUCCAAUCUCCGGGUUGCCAAAAUUCCCUGAGGAAAGUCCUGCUCUCUCUUCCAAAGGCUGUGGGGAGAGCAUGGUCUGCGUGCCCUCAGGGAGCAAUGUAAAAAUGCGCCGGGUUGGUGCUCUGGAGGAAACUGAUGACUAGACCAGCUGCAUGAAGCCCACAAGACAGAGUACGCCCUUGCCUUUCAGCAGCACCAUCCUUCAGGUGUGGGGGGUGGGUGAGAAGAAUAUGUGAGAAGAUAAUACAAGACAGAAGGGAAGGCCAUCAGUUCCUGUUACAUGUUGAGUGACAUAGAGGAGAGAGAGAUAUUCUCUAUUUUAAAAGGUAAUGAAGGGCCAGUAAACACUAUAUGGUGGAGUUUCAGAAAGUGAUGGAACAGCGGGAUGCGGGAGUGGCAGAAUAUGAAGCAUCAGAAAAAUGGAGGGGCAGUGCUCAAGCAUUUAGUACAGGGUGUACUCCAGAAAACGUACCAGAGGGCUGCUUAAGUGGAUGCAGAAAAGAAGAAAUAGGAAGACGGGUAUGAGUAAGAGAGCCGGAAUGAUCUCCAUGCUCUGUUUCUACUAACAACAAUUGGACCUGAUUGAAUUAAGGGUGCAAGCUUCUAUGCAGAGGAAGUCCAACUAUAACAAUAACAAACAACACUAGCUCUAUACUGACAAAUUCUCCAAGAAGAGAUAUAUUAGGCAAUCAAAACCAAAAGGAAAACACAGCCAAGGCAGGCACAUGCAAAGCCCACUGGUUUCCAUUGGCUCCUAAAUGCUGUGUUGGAUUGCAGCCUCCAAACCCUAAUGGACUAUGUGAAGACUAAACAGGCAUAAGGCUCCUAUUGUGAUAAAUCAGUUUGGUUUUCAAAUUUCAAAAGCCUUCCUUUCUAAGUUCAUUCUCAUCUCUGUCAUCUGUGAACAAAGGCCAAGCCACAUUUGGUUUGUGGUGGACCCUUUUUUCUUGAGCUGAUGGUGACUCCUUGCUCAUGGCAUGGCAUGGACGAGCAGGAUUUGCCAGUUUUGCAGGCCACAGUAAACCUUCUCCAGAUGUCCUGCUUGUUAUGAUUCAGGAGUUUCUGCAGGCAUAAUGCAAAGUAACUGCUAUGGAUCCAAUCACAUA